UAUAAAGAGGCUGGCACUCAGGCACAUGGCCCAAAGGACUUGGGGCUGGCCCAGCCCACAGAUGGUGCUCCAGCAACUCUCCCAUAACUGGCACGCCUGAUCUGCCAAAACAAAAUGGCGCGAUUCCAUCGCAGUAGAAGCGAGAGUAAUAGCAGACAGUGCCGCUGGAUGAGGAAAAGGGGACGCCGUGGGGGUAGCUCGGGACGGCGGCGAAGGGGAAAGAGGAGAGGAAGAAGUGGCAGAAAGAAAGGCAGAGGCCGCAGAGGAAGGAGAAGGAGAAGAAGACAUUAAACUUCAAAGGCAAAAGCUGUUGCCCUGUUCAGUCUCUGCUUUACAACACUGAAAUUCAUCUCGUCCAGUGACCUCUUAGACGACACCCUUCUUCUAACAAGAUGCCAGCAACUUACUUGAGAGUGAACAGUGUCCAUCUGUCAAUAAAGUGAAAUACCACCACUAUC